rnacentral:rRNA from 1 species
UACGAAGGGGGCUAGCGUUGCUCGGAAUCACUGGGCGUAAAGGGUGCGUAGGCGGGGCUUUAAGUCAGGGGUGAAAUCCUGGAGUUCAACUCCAGAACUGCCUUUGAUACUGAAGAUCUUGAGUUCGGGAGAGGUGAGUGGAACUGCGAGUGUAGAGGUGAAAUUCGUAGAUAUUCGCAAGAACACCAGUGGCGAAGGCGGCUCACUGGCCCGAUACUGACGCUGAGGCACGAAAGCGUGGGGAGCAAACAGG